rnacentral:lncRNA from 1 species
AUCGAACCAUACGAGGAUUUGAAGUCCUUGUGGAGAAAGAGUGGCUAAGCUUUGGACAUCGAUUCCAACUAAGAGUUGGCCAUGGCGAUAAGAACCAUGCUGAUGCAGACCGAUCACCUGUUUUCCUUCAGUUCAUUGACUGUGUCUGGCAGAUGACAAGACAGGUAAAACACGUCAUCUGCUAACACCCUGCCCACACAUCUCUAAGCUCAGAGUGGUCCUGACUGGCUUAUGAUUCUUAGAUAGAAUCCCAGAGAUAAUAGCUGUUGUAAUUGUUGGGUAUUAAAACUUGUUUUUUAGGGCAGUAUUAAUAAACAAUUAAUAAACACUUGGAUUCUAGUGGCAUCUUGCACAGGACACUGAUAAAAAUUAAAAGUAUUCCUCCUUUGAAAUGAA